rnacentral:lncRNA from 1 species
CGUGCUGGAGAUGGGGACUGAAGGGAACCCCUCGCACCAUAGUGACUAGUAGAUGCACUUGGCAUAGAAGAACCCUUAGUUGAUGUGGUAUGAGAUGAACCCUAAGCAUGGAGGGCGCUGAUUGAAGACUGGCCCUGUUGGGACCCAUGAUUACCACAACCUGAAGAUCCCCCACGAUACUCUGGAUGGGCCGACUAAGCAGGCCUGAAAGAAUGACCUCUACCACACUGGAACUGGCCCCUCGAAGGAGCACUACUGUAAUUGCCCGAUCCACGAGACCUCUUGGCCUCCCUCUC